rnacentral:lncRNA from 1 species
AUCGAUCUUGAGGAUAUUUGUUUGGGACACACUGAUUACUAGUGUUCUGGUUGGUCCAAUUCGAACUAUUAUUAUUGUUUGUCUUUCCCUUUCCUUUUUUUCUCCUUCUAUUUUUUAUUUUGUUUUCCCCUAGGCUUUCAUGCUGUGACGCUAAUUAGCAGUUACCUCUCUUUGUCGCGCCACACUAAAGCUUUCUCAAUAGGCAACAAUUCUUGCCUAGGGUGUCAAGUGUUGUGGGCCUGCCACUGCCGAGAAUCCCUCGAACUCCUUUCCCCUGCCUCAUCAUCCCAAUCGUUGGUAGGCUCCUCCGAUAACCUUUUCUUCCCAAGCGCCGGUCGUCCUCCUCCUCAAGGCCAUCGACUGGUGCUUGUUUUUAUGAUCUAUUAAAUGAAAAUACAAGUUCCAUCAAAAUUCUUCAAAGUCAAAACCAUUACAUCCGUCAUCCGUCCCUUGACAUAUCUCCAUGUCUCUGAUAACGAAACUGCAGAAGACCAUACCUCCACAAAUCACGCGAACCUCAUAGAUUCUGAUUAGCCACAUGACUUGUCGCCCCAAAUGAUCAGAACCUAAGAUCGUUGACCGCAGUAUGGCUGUGGUCUGGGGACACAGCCCUCGUAAGGCAAGUCGAAUCGCUGAUUCUUCAUCCAAUCGAAGAGAAAGAGGACC